GCUCUUUGAAAUAAUUACUGUACUAUUUCUAACAAAUAACAUAUACAUAAUUUUAAGGUAUUAUUUGUUUUUAAGUAAAUAUCACUUGAAUUGGAAUAAGAUUUUUCAACAACAAUAUAGAUACAGUUCUACUUGGGUUUCAAAUAAUAAAAAUUAAAGAUAGUACUUCUUGGGUUAGAAUAGGAAAAUUUUUCAAUGAGAAUACAAAGGUAUCAUUGUAAAUACCCUGUAUUGUAUUACGUCCAGCUUUGAGGAAUGAAUAUUUAUUUCAAAGCAUUCUUAAAAUUUUGGUAAGGCAGGAAAGGUUUUCGUAGCUUAAAAGAAUGUAUAUCUCGAGUUGAAUACACUUUUGACUCUGGUAUGUACGUCAGGUAGAUCCCACGAGUCGUGCGAUCAUCGAUCUUCUGACCGAAAGCGGAUUUUUCUGUUAAGGGUUCUUUUUAGAGAAAAUUGAAUUUAAUAUGACAUAACUUUUAUAAACACUAUUUUGUAUUUAGCUUUUUUUUACAUUAUAAAAAUAAUUCUACGUCAAACAAAAGGUAAUUAUUAUAUUAUUCAAACAAGUAUAUAUGUUUAAUGGACAUUAAAACUUACGUUGAAAAAAUUACAUUUUUAAAGAUUAUUCUUGAAAAUUUGAAAUUGGGAAAAAAUCAUAAUCGAAAAACUAAUCUUAAACUAAUACAAUACAAUAAUCAUAAAAAUUUUAAUUACAUUUAAUUAACACAAUUAUCUAAAUUUACCCGUAUUUGAUACAGUACAAAAUUAUUUUUUCAAAAAAGGCACCAAAUUUUUAUAUACUCGUACAAAAACUUGACGCUGUUAGAUAAAAAAAAUCAAUAAAAAGAUUUGAAAUAAGAAAAAAUGCGCAUAUACACACUUAACGUUUUUUUUUUUUUUUGAAAAGGUAUAUAAUUUUGUAUUGAUAUCACGCGUUUUGUAGUGUUAAACAUUAUGUAUAUUUUUUGAGGUAAAAUACAUGAUUUUCAACUUAGCAUGAUUGUAAAGAAUUAAUGAUAUAUAAAUCAACAUGUAAAUAAAAAAAUGUAUUACUACCAUUUCUAUUGUUUUCAUUUAUAAUUUACUCUGCUAUAAAUGAUUAAAAAGUGAAAUUAUUAAACAAACUAAUUUUUUAAAUAAUCGAUUGAUCGUACUAUACAAAUGUAAGGACAUAGGUAGAGAAUACAGGUAGAUAGCCGACAAGAGCCGAGUAAGGGAAAAAGGUGAAUAGGUAACGGGACAAUGAGGAGUGGGAGAGACGGUUGAAAAACGAGAAUUCCAAAGUCGAGGAUUCAGUUUGAAUUUACACCUAGUUCGAAGCGGUCGACCAGGCCACCUAUCGUUUAUUGGACGGGGGAACUCUAAACGGUCCGAGCGUCUUGGAGAAACAAAUACCGAAAGAAGGAGAGAUUUUCUAAAAACCAGGGAUGGUUUUCAACUAGUUACUACCCAAGCCUGCUGAAAAUAAGAUUAGCGGAGAAUUCUGUAUCAGAGCGUGGCUUACUUUAUCAAUAAACUCCGGCAACAUCUGAACAAAAGCACGAAGAUCUGGGUUAACGGUCAGAUAGCGGAGAAUUCUAUAUCGGAGCGUGGUUCACUUUAUCAACAAACUCCGGCAACAUCUGAAUAAAAGCACGAAGAUCUUGGUUAACGGUCAAAUAGCGGAGAAUUCUACAUCGGAGCGUGGUUCACUUUAAUGACGAUCUCUGGCAACAUCUGAGCAAAAGGUACUUGCAUUUUAUUUCUCUGUCUUUCUAACUUUCAAACCUUUAUUAAGUACCCCAAAUAGCUGUACCCCAAAAUAGCAUGCCAUCAAAAAUAAAAUUCAAGGUAAGAACCUAGUCAAAAAUUUAUUUAGGUGCUAAUUUUGUACCAUAGUCCAAAUAUUGAUGCUCAAAUCGUUUAACAAAAAAUUUGGUAAAAAGUGGGGAGUUC